rnacentral:rRNA from 1 species
AGUGAACGCUGGCGGCAGGCCUAACACAUGCAAGUCGAGCGGCAGCGCGGGGGCAACCCUGGCGGCGAGCGGCGGACGGGUGAGGAAUUCGUCGGAAUCUGCCUUUUUGUGGGGGAUAACGUAGGGAAACUUACGCUAAUACCGCAUACGUCCUACGGGAGAAAGUGGGGGACCGCAAGGCCUCACGCAGAAAGAUGAGCCGACGACCGAUUAGCUAGUUGGUGGGGUAAAGGCCCACCAAGGCGACGAUCGGUAGCUGGUCUGAGAGGAUGAUCCGCCACACUGGGACUGAGACACGGCCCAGACUCCUACGGGAGGCCGCAGUGGGGAAUCUUGGACAAUGGGCGCAAGCCUGAUCCAGCCAUGCCGCGUGUGUGCAGAAGGCCUUCGGGUUGUAAAGCACUUUUGUCCGGAAAGAAAUCCCUGGAGCUAAUACCUUCGGGGGAUGACGGUACCGGAAGAAUAAGCACCGGCUAACUUCGUG